UAAAGAAGCUGAGGUCAGACAGGUGGAAUAACUUGCCCAUUACACAGCUAUUUUUUUUUUUUUUUUUUUUNNNNNNNNNNAGUAGCUGGGACUACAGGCGCCUGCCACCACGCUCAGCUAAUUUUUUGUAUUUUGUUUAGUAGAGAUGGGGAUUGAUGAUUCUUAUUAUCACCAUUAUCUCGUUCUGUCCUAUAGUUAUUUUCUAAGCUGGGGGUUUCUUUUGUUUUCAGCAUAGGGAUAACUACAGGAUCUACAGGGGCAGAGUGGCUUGUGGAAGCAUCACAGGCCAUGGGUCAGACUUGAUUUUUAAUUCAAUCCCAUCCUUUACCAGCUGUGAUCAUGAGUAAUUUGCCAACUCUCCAGGUCAUGCUCCUAUCUAUAAAAUGGGGAUAAUACUACCUAUAAUAUGGCAUUACUUAAGUGAAAUAUCUUUGCUGCAUAUGUAAUAUAAGUGCUUAGUAACUUUUAGUCAUAACUAAAAUUAUUCAUACUGUUUUGUAUCCUGCUUUUUUCAGCCAACAUAGCAUUUUUCAAAUCACUCUGUCACCAUAAUUUUGAUGGUGAAUAUUCCAUUAAAUUUGAUAUGCUACCAUUUACUGAAUCAUUCCUCUGUUGGCAGUUAUCUUGAUGGUUUCCAACGUUUCCUUUUAUAAAUUAAAUUUUCAUCAACAUCUUUAUACAUG
rnacentral:lncRNA from 1 species